ACAUCACUGGGCGAAGCGAAUGGGCCACGGUUCUGUAAAAGGAACCAGGCUCAGGAAAGUCUCCGGGCCCCCACUAACUGCAGAGAUGCAGGCCUGGAAACAGGUAACCUCCGAGCGCUUGGAGUCUUUAUCGCCUCGUGCGAUGGGCUGAGACACGUGUGGAGCCUUUGGGCUUCAAACCCGGAGUAUAUCUUGGCCGAUUGUACAGUUAUUCGCUUGGUCCUGUGGACUAACUGAACGGGGCUUACGAUCCAGUGGUG
rfam:Prunus persica cultivar Lovell chromosome G3, whole genome shotgun sequence.